rnacentral:lncRNA from 1 species
UUCUACAAAGUGCAUGACACCCCAAAUAUUAGACAAAGUACUUAAUAAACAUGAGUCCCCCAACUAUUCAUUACAUACUAUGAAAGGUCUCUUUCGCUUCAGCAGGCUUUUCCAAGUAUCUCAAAAUCAACGGUCUCCUCAUAGGAAAAACAUGACAAAAAUAUGAGUUCGUAACUCAGUGAGUGGAUGAUUUGCAAAUAAG